GUGUGUGUGUGUGUGUGUGUGUGUGUGUAUGUGUGUAUAUAUAUAUAUAUAUAUAUAUAUACACAUACAUACACACACACGCAGCAUG